rnacentral:rRNA from 1 species
CCUACGGGGGGCAGCAGUGGGGGAUAUUGCACAAUGGGGGGAACCCUGAUGCAGCGACGCCGCGUGGGUGAAGAAGCGCCUCGGCGCGUAAAGCCCUGUCAGCAGGGAAGAAAAUGACGGUACCUGAAGAAGAAGCCCCGGCUAACUACGUGCCAGCAGCCGCGGUAAUACGUAUGGUGCAAGCGUUAUCCGGAUUUACUGGGUGUAAAGGGAGCGCAGGCGGCACGGCAAGCCUGAUGUGAAAGCCCGCGGCCCAACCGCGGGACUGCAUUGGGAACUACCGGGCUGGAGUGCCGGAGAGGUAGGCGGAAUUCCUAGUGUAGCGGUGAAAUGCGUAGAUAUUAGGAGGAACACCAGUGGCGAAGGCGACUAUCUGGCACAUAACUGACGCUGAGGAGCGAAAGCGUGGGUAGCAAACAGGAUUAGAUACCCGAGUAGUC